rnacentral:rRNA from 1 species
AGCAGCCGCGGUAAUUCCAGCUCCAAUAGCGUAUAUUAAAGUUGUUGCAGUUAAAAAGCUCGUAGUUGAAUUUCGGGAUCAAUACGUCGGUCGUGCUUCGGUACGUACUGGCGUAAUUGAUUUCUCCCUUCUGACGAACCAUGAUGUCAUUAACUUGGUGUCAUGGGAAAUCAGGACUGUUACUUUGAAAAAAUUAGAGUGUUUAAAGCAGGCUCACGCUUGAAUACAUUAGCAUGGAAUAAUGAAAUAGGACGUUCGAUCCUAUUUUGUUGGUUUUUAGGAUCAACGUAAUGAUUAAUAGGGAUAGUUGGGGGCAUUAGUAUUCAAUUGUCAGAGGUGAAAUUCUUGGAUUUAUUGAAGACUAACUACUGCGAAAGCAUUUGCCAAGGAUGUUUUCAUUAAUCAAGAACGAAAGUUAGGGGAUCGAAGACGAUCAGAUACCGUCGUAGUCUUAACCAUAAACUAUGCCGACUAGGGAUCGGAUGAUGUUAAUUUUUAAUGUACUCAUUCG